GUUACUGCUAUCGGAGUUCGAUUAAGCCAUGCGAGUCUAAAGGUUUCUUCGGAAACCUUGGCGGACUGCUCAGUAACACGUGGAUAACCUACCCUUGGGACUGGAAUAACCCCGGGAAACUGGGGAUAAUACCGGAUAGAUCAGGGAUGCUGGAAUGCGCCUUGAUCUAAAGCUCCGGCGCCCAAGGAUGGGUCUGCGGCCUAUCAGGUAGUAGUGGGUGUAAUGUACCUACUAGCCAACGACGGGUACGGGUUGUGAGAGCAAGAGCCCAGAGAUGGAUUCUGAGACACGAAUCCAGGCCCUACGGGGUGCAGCAGGCGCGAAACCUUUACAAUGUGCGAAAGCAUGAUAAGGGAACUCCGAGUGCCAGUAUCUAAUACUGGCUGUCCUUGUGCCUAAAACGCACAAGAUAGCAAGGGCCGGGUAAGACCGGUGCCAGCCGCCGCGGUAACACCGGCGGCCCGAGUGGUAGCCGCUAUUAUUGGGUCUAAAGGGUCCGUAGCCGGUUCGAUAAGUCCUCUGGGAAAUCUGGUUGCUUAACAAUCAGACUGCCAAGGGAUACUGUCGAACUUGAGACCGGGAGAGGUAAGAGGUACUUCAGGGGUAGGAGUGAAAUCUUGUAAUCCCUGGGGGACCAUCUAAGGCGAAGGCGUCUUACCAGAACGGGUCUGACGGUGAGGGACGAAAGCUGGGGGCGCAAACCGGAUUAGAUACCCGGGUAGUCCCAGCCGUAAACGAUGCUCGCUAUGUGUCAGGUACGGUGUGACCGUAUCUGGUGCCGUAGGGAAGCCGUGAAGCGAGCCACCUGGGAAGUACGGUCGCAAGACUGAAACUUAAAGGAAUUGGCGGGGGAGCA
rnacentral:rRNA from 1 species